UGUGACUUUCAUUUCUUCAUCAGAUCAUGGAGCACGCCCGAGCCAUGCCACUCACAUCAGCCUCCUCAACACAAACAUGUUUCCUGAUGCUUAUACUGGUGGUGACAUGGGUAGAUUGUGCUAUUGAACACACUCAGCCCAGCUCCAUCAUGGUAAAGCCAGGAGAGUCUCUGACUGUUACCUGCAAAGUGACUGGAGCUUCCAUUACAGAUGGCAGCUACUAUGGAACAGCCUGGAUCCGUCAGGCAGCAGGGAGACCUCUAGAGUGGAUCAACACACUCCUCUACCAGAAUACCGAAUAUGAAAACAAUGCCCUGAAAAACAAGUUCAGCAUCUCCAGAGACACCUCCAGCAGCACUGUGACUCUACAGGGCCAGAAUCUACAGGCUGGAGACACAGCUGUGUACUACUGUGCCCGAGAGUCACUGUGA